GACGAACGCUGGCGGCGUGCUUAACACAUGCAAGUCGAACGGGCCCGCCCCUGUUUUUGGGGGUGGGUUGAGUGGCGAACGGGUGAGUAUCACGUGAGUAACCUGCCCCCUGCUCCUGGAUAACUGCUUGAAAGGGCGGCUAAUACGGGGUGUGCCGGCUGGUCCGCAUGGGCCUGGUCGGGAUAGUUUCAUCUUCGGGUGUUUCGGUGGGGGAUGGGCUCGCGGCCUAUCAGCUUGUUGGUGGGGUGAUGGCCCACCAAGGCGGUGACGGGUAGCCGGCCUGAGAGGGUGGGCGGUCACACUGGGACUGAGACACGGCCCAGACUCCUGCGGGAGGCAGCAGUGGGGGGUAUUGCACAAUGGGCGGAAGCCUGAUGCAGCGACGUCGCGUGAGGGAUGGAGGCCUUCGGGUUGUGAACCUCUUUCUCCGGUGGUGAAGGCCCUGUCCGUUGCGGCGGGGUUGACGGUAGCCGGGUAUGAAGCGCCGGCUAACUACGUG
rnacentral:rRNA from 1 species